CGGCCGAGAGGAAACCGCAAACAUCAAACUUAGGGCUGCAGCUCAGAGAACAAGCUGUGCCUGGUGGCCCGCUCUUGGCAGGCGGCAGGGGGCAGGCAGAGCUGCUUGCUGAACUCCACCUGACCUUGGACUUGGGAAGGCCAUGCAGCAUGCCUUCUGAAGCCAAGCUGCUCAGAUCCACCAGCCACAGGAGGAAGCCCAAGUCGCACAGGAGACCCCCUGUGGGCACCUGGCCUAGGUUCUAGCCUCAGCCUGAGCCCAGCCCACACCUGUGAAUGAUGACCCUUCCCAGUGGAGGACCCAGGUGUCCUAGCACAAGGACAAACUGAGUCUCUCAAGCCCCAUCUGCAUCCCUGACUCAUAGCACCACCAGGAAUAACAAAACGGCUUUGGGACACUAGGUUUGGGGCAGUUUGUUGCAGGACAACGGAAAGCCACGAUGUGAGGAUGCAAACGGGUUUUUUUGACUUUUAUUAAAUCCUUACAAAACAGAAUACAAAAUUCCGGCAUUGACAGUUGGUGUAAAGGAAAACUUCUGAGCUGUAUCAGCUCACCUGGUAGAGUGGAGUUAAAGUGCUUGGAUGUUUUUCCCCCACUUUAAAAAAAUCUUUUUUUUUUUUUUUUUUUAACA